rnacentral:rRNA from 1 species
GACGAACGCUGGCGGUGUGCUUAACACAUGCAAGUCGAACGGAAAGGCCCUGCUUUCGUGGGGUGCCCGAGGGGCGAACGGGUGAGUAACACGUGUGUAACCUGCCCUUGACUUUGGGAUAACGUCAGGUAACUGGGGCUAAUACCGGAUAGGAUCUCCCGUUGCAUGGUGGGGGGUGGAAAGUUUCGGCGGGCGGGGAUGGACUCGCGGCUGAUCAGCUUGUUGGUGGGCUAGUGGCUUACCAAGGCUUUGGCGGGUAGCCGGCCUGGGAGGGUGACCGGCCACAUUGGGACUGCGAUACGGCCCAGUGUCCUACAGGGGACAGCGGUCGGGAGUAUUGCACAAUGGGCCGGAGCCUGAUGCAGCAGCGCCGCGUGCGGGAUGACGGCCUUCGGGUUGUAAACCGCUUUAGCCUGUGACGAAGCGUGAGUGACGGUAAUGAGUAAAGAAGCACCGGCUAACUACGUG